GAAUGAGGGAGCCAUCGUGUUUGCUGACCACAUUGCCAACAGUGGAGCUGAAGGGGCGUAAACCAAGUAUGAGGAGGCUUUACCAUGGCAGAAGGUGGCCGGGACCAGGGUUCCCAAGCAGUCAGUAGUCAAAGGCACCAGCACCCAUCGCAGGCAAAGACACUCCAGACCCAUAGGUGACACAGGGAAAAGCCAUCAGCACUAACAGCCAUCACCCAUAGGUGAGCUCAGGGAUAACAUUAGAUGACAAGUCACAUCCUGCUAGAUUAUGAUGAUCCCACCUACCUUCCUCUCAUUUCAGGGACCACUUCAUCUGCCUGAUCCAUUUUAAAGAGGGCUGCCAGGAGUCCUGGCUUUGUUCCACGUUAUAAGCAGGUUUGCAGGGAGUUCUCCUCUGCCUGGUCUAGCUCUGCACUGCAAGUGCUUGUGCAAAGAAUCACUCAGGGAUGUAUUAAUACAAAAAUGUUUUGACAGCUGUAUUUUAAGAAGACUUCAUCUCACUGGGAUCCACUCUUGCCAUUUUGUAGCCCAGCAAGAUAAUGCCUUCAUUAAUUUUUUAUAGGAGCAAUUUAAAUAAAACUCUUUGAUGCACUGCUGAGAUUUAAAAAAAAAAAAUCUAUCUUUCAGCUCUGCCUGUUGAUAGUAGCACUCAAAAAAACAGUUAGACAAGUAAUGGAGCACUUGGAAAACAUCCAUCCUGUUUUAGAGGAAACUCACCAGAUCAAUACUGCUCUUCCCCAGCUACUUCUCAGGUCUGUCUUGUGCUCAGCAGUGCAAGCUCUCCGCAAGCUCAUCUCAGGCCACAGAAACACUUUAAGUGCCCUUCUUUUCAUUAACUUCAGUGGGUUAAUCUACAUCAUAUUUUUAAUGACAACCUUUCUUUUGAACAUUGGUCCACCAACCCUGUGAAGAAGGUGUGGAUGUCACAGCGUUCAGGUUAAAAGGCAUGGAUUAUUGCUAAAUUUAUCCUGUGACUUGCAGGCACGGUACUUUGGACACAUGCAAACACAGACAGUUCAGCCCUGCAAUACAGCCUUUGGCAGGAAGGGCUUGUGUUGAAGUUUUGUAGGAGUGACUGGGUGGCAAGAAUCAGUGGUUAGAACAGGCAUUCUUUGCUAUUUAAUGAAAAAUCUUGCUAGAUUAAAUAAAACACUUGCAAAAUUCCAACCCCAUGAAGAAACAGCCAGAAGAACUGGUCUGAACAACUGGUUUACUUAUUUUGGUGCUGUGACUGAGCUAAAGUGCAUAUUAAGGACAGAUCCAGUCUGCUUGAAAGGUUCUAGUAGAACAGCAGUUUAUACCUUGUUUCUGGGCUGAACUGGCUGGGCUACAUCUCCCACCAAGUGGGUUACGCAUUUGCAUCUGUGCAUCAGAGAGACUUCUGAGUUCUGGUCAGAAAGUAUCCCCUAACCCCUUAACCUAAGUUAAGUGCUUUGAUUCUUGCACUGUCAAGCAGAAUCUGCAACUCUGAUCAUUUUCAGAGCUCUGAACCUCCCCUAAUUUGUCAAUACUUCGUAAGCAUGCAAACCAGGAAUAGAAGCAGUAUUCUACAAGUAACUACCCCAAGAUGAGAGACCAAGAUGGUAUGUCUUCCUGGCUCCUGCUCAGCAUUCCCACAACAACACCCAAGGAUCACAUAAACCCCAUUUGCCGCCUCCUGUUACUUAUCCCCUGUCAGGGAGCAGCAAGGGCCGCUGCUCCCCAAGGGACAGGGAGCCAGGACACAGGGGUAGUAUCACCUCACCAUAGCAAGGAGACAGGUUGGACACCAAGCUGGGAAGUCAAUCCAUGGCAUUAGAACAGCUAGGAUAGAGCUGGAGACCAGGUCCUCCUUCCACACAGCACAGGCAGGGAGUAAGGGCCACAGGCUGAGUUUAAAUGGGCUCCUGGGCCUGUGGGCAGGGUGUGGGCAGAGACCCCAGGUGAGGCUGCUUAGGGCCAUUAAGGUUUAUCAGUGCACUCAGGGUGCUGAUGUCUAUCAAGACUCCUAAUUCCUUAUCUGAAUCACUGCUUCUGUCAGUAUAGCCCCUGUAGCCAACAGUUAUAGCUUGCUUUCUUCAUGCAAAGUGUAGACCUUGUCCUUCGUUUGAUAAGUGGCAUCUCCCAUUUUGGAGGUUCUUGAUCACUUCCUGGUAAUACUCAGUCCCUCGCCAUGCAAAGUAUCCCUGCUCUCCAUCACCCAGUUCUUUCUGCCACCCCACUGGGCUUUUUCUCCUUCCUCUAGAAGGUUUUCCUCCUAUCUUGCCAUCUGAUAUCAGUGAAAUAGCAAGUCCUUUGGAGGCAAGUCUAGAACAUGCCAACACAAUUGCAUUUUUUCUCUCAGACUGCUGUAACACGAAGCCGUUCUCCAGUCAGUGCCAUGCUGUACAGGAUCUCACAAUUUCACGUCCUUAGUCUUCAGCGCAUUCUUUAGCACCAGAAAUCAAAAUCUUAGGGAGGAUUUUUGAGGGCCUGACAUGUUUUAAAAGAGUGCUGAUCAUCUCUGUAAGGCACUGAGUCUACACAGGUCAGCCAGGGGCUCUCCAUUUUCCCUGCAGAGAGGAAGGCACUUAGGGCAGGAUCUUGCAUCUUUUUUGGAUGGUCGGAAAUCACGCAGCCCCCUUUUUCAAAUAGGCAGUGCCCUGCUGUUUCACUAACUGAAACGCUCCUGCAUUAUGCUGCUGCUUCUGUCCUUUAUUGCUGCAAGAUGGGAAGGGACUGAGAAGAUCACUCUGGUUUCCUCAAACUUUGGUACCUUUUCUGUAGGCACAGAGGACCUUUUGGAUAGUGCUGUGACUGCUAGGGGAGCCUUGCCGCACAGCUCCCGUCUGUCCAGUGUCAGCAGGAAGUCACUGCGGGGAGUAAGCACAUCGCCUGCUGACCACGUCUUAACACAGAUUCAGCAACAGGGAUUAUCUGUCAUUUUUGCGAGCACGCUUCAUAGAUAGCCUUGCCAAUGGAUUGGCGACCGUUCCUGCCGAGUCCUGCCUUCCCACCAGCUGGCUUUGUCUGCAGUGUCCUCACUGAAAGACUGAUAAGCAGCAACCCCCAGCUCUGUGGGAUCCCUCCCGCUCUUGGCUUUGCCGUCCUUGGCUGCCUCGAGCCACACGUGUGGUCACCUAGUUCAUUCACUUCUGCUUGUUCUGAAUUGUCAGCUCCUGUCCCCUUCCCCUUUCCCUGGUUCCUGGUCACGUGGAAAGAGAGUUCCUCUCUCCUCCUCCUGCAGUCUUUCCAUAGCUCCCUGCCUGCCUUCCAUAUCACAUUAUUUCUGAUGGAAAUUAAUCCCCUGAAAUAGAGAAAGAAGCAGCUCCAAUUUGCAGCAGUCUACUACCUUGUUAUUUUUAACAGGGAACUGGAAUAGUCUUUGCAUAUCUUUACCAAGCUAUAAAGUAUUAUUUCCGUUACUGGCAUUUUAAAGUCCAAAUAUUCAGUACAGUUCAGUAUAUUUUCUGCGGAUUUGUGUUGCUCUAGUAUGUGUGACUGUAGGUGUGGUGUUCUAUACAUAUUUUGAGUUCAUGUGGUUUCAACCUUGUUUUUUUUAAAAUUCUUAAAUUAAUUUUGCAUGUUUUUUUCAUAUUCUAAAUACUUCAUGUGACAGAUCAAUAAUUAACAAUCAUUAUUCUCUCAGCUUGCCCAGCAAAAGGAUUUGUCAUAUGUAUAUUUGGCCUGAAAUUAAAUGGGUUCAAGGGUAGUUUCAUUUAAAUAUCAAAGCUACGUUUCACAAAAAGACCAGAAGGAAGACGGCUAGAUGCUCUGUUGUUGUGUUUGAAGCAGAUUUCAGUCUUCUCUUGAAAGCAGUGCCUUUGGCAUGAAAGAUGGUAAGGCAGCUCUGAAAACAGCCCCCUGAAUGGAAGAUUAUAAUAUAGGGGGGUUAUUUUAGUGUGAUGAUUUGGGGGAGGUGAGAGCACAGGCCUGAACCCCUUAGCUUGACACUACUGAGAAAGAAAACUGAACAUACAGUAGGAAUCAGUGUACUUGGGAAUAGUUCCUAGCCGUGUUUCGCUCUGUACAGUCUGGACUGAGCACGGGCCCUUUCUCCGUCUCUUUCCUCUACAGCCUUCGGCACUUGCAAGGCCCCAUGAUUCCCUACCAUUUUUUCUACUUCAGUAUGUUCUUCCCCAAGAUCACCAGCUCUAUCAAAUCAAAAGAGGAAGUCCUCAGAAAUGUUUCUUUCCCUGCUAAAUAACUCCUUGUUUUUUAUAGCCCAAUUUUAGAAAAUAUUUCUGGGGGAGUCGUGCUGUGCAAGCUCUAAUGUAAUAAAGCCCUUGGGGCUUUCAUUACUCUCUCUGCCAGCUUCAUUAAACAUCAUUUCAUACAGGCCACUGAAGUUAUGUAGUAAGUUGAGAGACAGAUUUUCUAGGUCAAAACCAAGCUUGGCAAGCUCAUAUCUUAUCUAUAAGCCUAUUCCUGUGGCCUAGAAAAUGAAAUGCUACAAGUAUGUAUGCCUGUCUGUCAUGGGGUGGCAAAAACCUAGAUGGGACUACUCAUACUACACACGGGGGAAAGCAAAUAGUUGAAUUGGCUAAUGACGCUGCAGAGCUUCCCUUGAAAAGAAAGUUGGAAAACCUCUGCUUGUAGAAGGGGUUUUGCUCUACGAGGAAGCAGCCUUUCAUAUUGUGAGAGAACUGCAAAGGGAAAAGACCUAGCAGCCUGCUUCCACAUCCAAGCCUCCAAGGACUGUUCAAAGUGAGAGGAACUCCUUGUGUUUGUGGCAGGAUUUUUUUUUUCUUUUUGCAGUCAGCAAACCAUGAGCAAGGAAGUACUAAGAAUGGAUUGAUUUUUUUUCUAGUCUUAUUUUCAAAUUAAUUUUUAGUAGUAUUUGAUUAUGAAGUAACAGAUCUAAUUUCCUAGAGAGGAACUUUAGCGUUUGCUUGAGAGUGAAAUGGUUGUUUAUGAGCAACUUGCCAGACAGUGAUGUCUGAAGAAAUGAUGUUCUUGUAGCUAAGCAGGGCACAUUUUAAAUAUCCAGUGUGUACACAAGCUGUGCAGGGGCAGAACCAAAUCAGGGAUGUGGUGCUUGCAGGAAAAACGUUCUGCCUUGUUUGACCUUGGUUGUUGGAACUUCUUUAACUGAUGAUAUAAUUUCAGCUCUUUUUCAUAAAGCUGCUUCCAGCAAAUGUUUUAAUCCCCUUGUUUCUGUUUAUUUAUUUAGCUGAUUGACUUUUGUUUGUAAACCUGGGAUUAAAAAAAAUCGUUUUUAUAAAAUUAUAACAAACCUGUA